rnacentral:SRP_RNA from 1 species
CAGCGGCGCCUUUGCAGCGGGGGACUGCCAAUCCCGCCAGGUUCGGAAGAAAGCAACGGUAACAGUCUUCCCGCGUGCCGGAGAACCGCUGCUGCGG